GACGUAGGGCGCGAGCGUUGUCCGGAUUUAUUGGGCGUAAAGAGCUCGUAGGCGGCUUGUCGCGUCGACUGUGAAAACCCGGGGCUCAACUGCGGGCUUGCAGUCGAUACGGGCAGGCUAGAGUUCGGUAGGGGAGACUGGAAUUCCUGGUGUAGCGGUGGAAUGCGCAGAUAUCAGGAGGAACACCAAUGGCGAAGGCAGAUCUCUGGGCCGUUACUGACGCUGAGGAGCGAAAGCAUGGGGAGCGAACAGG
rnacentral:rRNA from 1 species